GCCUAGUUAGCUAGGUUGGUAGAGCGUUAGACUUUCAAUUUAACGGUCGGGGUUCGAGUCCCCUAUGGGGCU
rnacentral:tRNA from 1 species